UACGUAGGGUGCAAGCGUUGUCCGGAAUUAUUGGGCGUAAAGGGCUCGUAGGCGGUUCGUCGCGUCGGCUGUGAAAACCCGGAGCUCAACUCCGGGCCUGCAGUCGAUACGGGCGGACUUGAGUGUUGCAGGGGAGACUGGAAUUCCUGGUGUAGCGGUGAAAUGCGCAGAUAUCAGGAGGAACACCGGUGGCGAAGGCGGGUCUCUGGGCAACUACUGACGCUGAGGAGCGAAAGCGUGGGGAGCGAACAGG
rnacentral:rRNA from 1 species